CUACGGGAUGCACCAGGCGCGAAACCUUUACAAUGCACGAAAGUGUGAAAGGGAACCCAAAGUGCUUUGCUCUGCAAGGCUUUUGCCAAGAGUAAAUAUCUUGGCGAAUAAGUGGUGGGAAAGACUGGUGCCAGCCGCCGCGGUAACACCAGCGCCACAAGUGGCGAUCAUGUUUAUUUGGCCUAAAGCGUCCGUAGCUGGUUGAGUAAAUCUCUUGUGAAAUCGUUCGGCUUAACCGAACGGCGUGCAGGAGAGACUGCUUAACUAGGGACCGGGAGGAGUCAGAGGUAUGCUGGGGGGAGCGGUAAAAUGCUAUAAUCCCCAGUAGACCACCUGUGGCGAAGGCGUCUGACUAGAACGGGUCCGACAGUGAGGGACGAAAGCCAGGGGAGCAAACCGGAUUAGAUACCCCAGUAGUC
rnacentral:rRNA from 1 species